UACAGAGGUCCCGAGCGUUGUUCGGAUUCACUGGGCGUAAAGGGUGUGUAGGAGGCGUGGUAAGUCUGAUGUGAAAUCUCACCGCUCAACGGUGAAACUGCAUUGGAUACUGCCGGGCUAGAGGUCUUGAGGGGGAAUCGGAAUUCUUGGUGUAGCAGUGAAAUGCGUAGAUAUCAGGAGGAACACCAGUGGCGAAGGCGGAUUCCUGGAAAGUACCUGACUCUGAAACACGAAAGCCAGGGGAGCAAACGGG
rnacentral:rRNA from 1 species